CCAGCGUGAAUGAUGCCCACCCUGUCUC
rnacentral:piRNA from 1 species